rnacentral:miRNA from 10 species
ACCAAUUGUCAGACAUGUCGAG